AUGCAGCCCGGCCUGAGUGGAACUCUUUUUUUCUGCUGGCUGAGCGAAGCCGAAGCUAGCAGAAAAAAAAGUGGGAACGGAGGACGGAAAUGUC
rnacentral:misc_RNA from 1 species